rnacentral:rRNA from 1 species
UGGGGAAUAUUGCGCAAUGGGGGGAACCCUGACGCAGCCAUGCCGCGUGAAUGAAGAAGGCCUUAGGGUUGUAAAGUUCUUUCGGUAUUGAGGAAGGUUGAUGUGUUAAUAGCACAUCAAAUUGACGUUAAAUACAGAAGAAGCACCGGCUAACUCCGUGCCAGCAGCCGCGGUAAUACGGAGGGUGCGAGCGUUAAUCGGAAUAACUGGGCGUAAAGGACACGCAGGCGGUUAUUUAAGUGAGGUGUGAAAGCCCCGGGCUUAACCUGGGAAUUGCAUUUCAGACUGGGUAACUAGAGUACUUUAGGGAGGGGUAGAAUUCCACGUGUAGCGGUGAAAUGCGUAGAGAUGUGGAGGAAUACCGAAGGCGAAGGCAGCCCCUUGGGAAUGUACUGACGCUCAUGUGCGAAAGCGUGGGGAGCAAACAGGAUUAGAUACCCUGGUAGUCCACGCUGUAAACGCUGUCGAUUUGGGGGUUGGGGUUUAACUCUGGCGCCCGUAGCUAACGUGAUAAAUCGACCGCCUGGGGAGUACGGCCGCAAGGUUA